rnacentral:rRNA from 1 species
AACGAACGCUGGCGGCAUGCCUAACACAUGCAAGUCGAACGGACCCUUCGGGGUUAGUGGCGCACGGGUGCGUAACGCGUGGGAAUCUGCCCUUGGGUUCGGAAUAACUCGCCGAAAGGCGUGCUAAUACCGGAUGAUGUCGUAAGACCAAAGAUUUAUCGCCCAAGGAUGAGCCCGCGUAAGAUUAGCUAGUUGGUGGGGUAAAGGCCCACCAAGGCGACGAUCUUUAGCUGGUCUGAGAGGAUGAUCAGCCACACUGGGACUGAGACACGGCCCAGACUCCUACGGGAGGCAGCAGUGGGGAAUAUUGGACAAUGGGCGAAAGCCUGAUCCAGCAAUGCCGCGUGAGUGAUGAAGGCCUUAGGGUUGUAAAGCUCUUUUACCCGGGAUGAUAAUGACAGUACCGGGAGAAUAAGCUCCGGCUAACUCCGUGCCAGCAGCCGCGGUAAUACGGAGGGAGCUAGCGUUGUUCGGAAUUACUGGGCGUAAAGCGCACGUAGGCGGCUUUGUAAGUCAGAGGUGAAAGCCUGGAGCUCAACCCCAGAACUGCCUUUGAGACUGCAUCGCUUGAAUCCAGGAGAGGUGAGUGGAAUUCCGAGUGUAGAGGUGAAAUUCGUAGAUAUUCGGAAGAACACCAGUGGCGAAGGCGGCUCACUGGACUGGUAUUGACGCUGAGGUGCGAAAGCGUGGGGAGCAAACAGG